rnacentral:rRNA from 1 species
AAUACGUUCCCGGGCCUUGUACACACCGCCCGUCACAUCAUGGAAGUCGCCUGCUCCCAAAGAGUUUCCGUUUUAACGGGCUUCAAGGAAUGGGCGGUAACUGGGAUG